AGAGUCUCAGAGAGGAGAACUGAUCGGCUCUGACCACGACUUCAACACCAUCCUCAAACACAUAAACGAGUUGACCAUGAAGCUGGACCUCCAGUCGAUUCUGCGUGGAGCUGAGGCCAUCUACCUGCAGCUGCUCUCCUGCAAAGAGUUGCCGGUGAGAGUUCAGGAGGUGCUCGGUUUGUGUGUCCGUGCCCCGAGCUCCGACAGCAGCCCCGACUCCCAGAGCAGCGAGAGCGAGCGCCUCCUCCAACAACAAUAACCCUCCAUCCCGCCCCCGAUACGGAUACUCCGCAGUGAGAGGGGGGGUUCUACACGUGCCUCUACGGCGGAACGUUCAGCAGAUACUACGCAUCACAGAAACCCGUCAAAAACACGUGAAGAAGAGUCUGAAAACUGAAAAAAGCAGAUACAAAACGGAUUUAAACCACACAUUUUCAGCUGCUGGACUUUCUGCCAUAGACAUACAUGCGGAACACGUCACUGCGAAGCAUCGAGAUCAAAAAAACAAACAAAAAAACUCCCCGAACCCGAGACCUGAAGUGCAAUCACUAAUAAUAAAAAAAAAUUAAUACUAACGGUUUGAAAAAAAAAAAUAAACUGAUUCAAAACGGUGGAAAAGAAACGAAAAGACGGUUUGAGUUCACGACAUCGGAACAUUCU